GGGUCAGUAGGUUGGUCGUGCCACCGGUACGUACUGGUCUCACUGAUUCCUCCUUCCUGAAGACCCGUAAUGCCAUUAAUUUGGUGUAGCGGGGAAACAGGACUGUUACUUUGAAAAUAUUAGAGUGUUUAAAGCAAGCUAACGCUUGAAUACAUUAGCAUGGAAUAAUGAAAUAGGACGAUCGAUCCUAUUUUGUUGGUUUCUAGGAUUGACGUA
rnacentral:rRNA from 1 species